rnacentral:lncRNA from 1 species
GGCAUUUAUUAUUCUAGCAGCUGUUACCAAGACAAAACCAUCACCUGCUAAAAAGAAGAAAGAGCCAGCUCCCAUUAAGACAAAACCAGCCCCAGCUAAAGGUAAGACCAGACUUUAUUUUGUUAAUCAUAAUUUCAAAAUGUACUCAAGCUUUUGAUUUUCAUACUCAUUUAUCUUUGACAGAAGCACCACACAAAAAUGUUACUCUAACAAAGGAGAAGGUGAAGGUGGUGCCACUGAAGAAAGGUACAUCUCUUUGUUUAAGCAGCUGUUCUUGUGUGUUUUUUAUGCUAACUUUCUAAAUUCAGAAUGCUUUCUCAAUGUUUCCAAACUUAAACACUUUUUCCCAUCUUAGUGCCUUUGACACUGAAACAGAGAGUUAAACCAGAACCAACCAAAAAAGGUAGAAACAGUCAUAUAUGAGAACAUUUUGUAUUCAAUUUUAAUUAUUUAUCUACAGUACUGUGCAUAAGUGUUAAGCCACCAAUCAUUUCUAUAUAUUUUGCUUCCAAAGAACCAGACUUUUAUGGAACUUUUUAAAGUCCUGUGUCUUUUCCCCUCACCCCCAACCGGUCAAAGCGGAUGACCACCCCUCCCUGAGCCUGGUUCUGCUGGAGGUUUCUUCCUCUUAAAAGGGGUUUUUUCCUUCCCACUGUCACCAAAGUGCUUGCUCAUAGGGGGUCAUCUGAUUGUUGGGGUUUUCUCUGUUUUCUCUGUAUUAUUGUAGGGUGUUCACCUUACAAUAUAAAGAGCCUUGAUACAACUGUGGUUGUGAUUUGCCGCUAUAUGAAUAAAUACAUUGAAUUGAAUAAAAAGGCACCUUACUCAACUUAACUCAAGGGUUGACUCAAUGUUGUGGCUACACAUAACAGACAACUUAACAAAAUAUCUUUAGAUCCUUUGCUUUCGAUCAACCAGGAGACAUGUAGAGGUGCUGGAAACUUUAUUACUAGUCUGGUGUAAAAACAAAUCAUUUGUUCUCAUUGUUUUUAGUUAAAUCUACAAAAAAAUGUAAAAAAAAAAAAACCACACAGCACAGUACUCUAGAUUUUAACAGUCAGACUUUAAACAGCAUUUUAUUGUCUUUAAAACAGUUUUUG